GCGGUGAUAACCAGGUGGAGUCUACCUGGCGUCCGAUGAUCAAGAAUUUGUUUUGUUUUGUUAGGUCUUUUUCUUUUUGGUUUUUAGCCAGGCAAACUUGGAGCAUGAGCGGCUCUGGCAGUCAGUGAUCGAAAUUCCCACGGGCCAAAAACCCUUAAACCCCUGUAUUUCAUUACUCUUCUCGUCUCUGCGGUAUCUGCCUCCAGCAUGGGCGAGUCUGGCAAGAAAUCAGAUCUCGGUUUUGACGCUGCUGUUGCUGGAGUCUCACCAUCGAAGUCUGCCAUGAUUGGAAAGAGAGAAAGUGAAGAUGAACCUGAGAAGCAAGUGACUGCAAAGAAGCAGAAGAGAGACUGGGAUGCUGAAAAUCAAAAGAAGGAAAGUAGUUCAGAUGACUCCUUUUUAGAUUCUGCAAACUCAGAUGAAGAUUCUGCUUUGAAUGAUUCCAACGUAGCCCCUGCUGAAGGUAAGAGUGGGCCCAGUGCUGUACGGAAGAAAGGCGAAUCAAGAUCAGAUACCGGGAGUAGCUCAGUUGAUAAAGAUGAUAUAAAAAUAGAAGCAACCAUAGUGCGUGAGAAAUUGCCUAAUGCUGGUGAGAAAGAGCCUGCUAAGAAAGUUGAUUCAAGCAAACCCUCAGGCUUAGAUUCUGACAGCAAAACUAAUGAGGAUAUGGACAAUGUAACCACAUCAUCGAAGAAGUCGCUUGCUACUUCUGCUGCAGGUAAUAAUAAAUCCACUCAUAAGUUUGUGUCAAGCAAUGACUCAUCCCUGGAUAGUGGCUUAGAUGAGGAUGAUGUUCAGAAGACACGCGUAACGUCAUCAUCUAAGAAGCUGCUUGCUUCUGCAGUUGUUCAAAGGGAGGGAAUUGGGAAAAAUGAGAACCCCUGCUAUGGAUCAAGAGAAGGAUUUGAUGAGUGCAAUGUUUCAGAAGGAAACGAAGAGAUCGAGGAGAAACCUUGUACAACUCAGAAAGAUGUGAAAGAUGAAGAAAUGGUUGAUGUUACCUCAAUGGGAGCAACUAGAAAGGGAGUUCCUAAAACAGCGUUGACUUUAGAAAAACAAAAUGCCACAUCGAAAAAGAUAUUUGUUGGGAACUUAUCAUUAGAGAUGAAAAGGGCCAAUUUGGAAAAUCUAUUUAAGGGUUGUGGAGAAAUUGUUGAUGUCUCGUUUGGUUUAUAUCGUGAUGGGACUUUUAGAGGCUUUGCUCAUGUUGAGUUUGCCACUGAAGAAGCUGCACAGAAUGCCCUUAUGUUGAAUGGGAGUGAGCUGUUAAGACGUUUUGUCAGAAUUGAGAUAGCCCGUGAAAAGUUUGCAUAUACCCCUAAUAGCAGGAACAACACAUUGAAGGGUUUUCAAGCAUUCUCUGGAGAUGGUGAGCCUACAAUGUUAGCUACUUCAAAAGAACAAAAUGCCACAUCAAAGAUGCUAUUUGUUGGAAACUUGUCAUAUAGCGUGGAAAGGGCGGAUUUGGAAAAUUUAUUUAAAGAUUGUGGAGAAAUUGUUGAUAUUCGAUUUGCUACAGACCGUGAAGGGAGGUUUAAAGGCUUCGCACACGUUUUGUUUGCCACAGAGGCAGCAGCACAAAUUGCCCUUAUGUUGAACGGGAAAGAACUGUUGAGACGUUCUCUCAGGCUUGAUCUAGCUCAUGAAAGGGGUGUAUAUUCCCACAGUAGCAACAACAGGAAUGAAUCAUCCCAGGAGGAUAAAUCGUUAGGAGGGAAUGAGGCUAAAAUGCCAGCUGCUCCAAAAGAACAAAAUGCCACAUCAAAGACAGUAUUUGUUGGAAACCUGUCGUAUAGCGUGGAAAGGGCUGAUUUGGAAAAUUUGUUUAAAGAUUGUGGAGAAAUUAUUGAUAUCCGUUUAGCUACAGAUCGUGAAGGGAGGUUUAAAGGAUUCGGACAUAUUGAGUUUGCCACUUAUGAAGCGGCACAAACUGCCCUUAAGUUGAAUGGAAGCGAACUGUUGAGACAAUAUAUAAGGCUUGAUUUGGCUCAUGAAAAGAUUGUGCAUUCUUUCAAUAGCGGCAUUCAUGGGAACACGGAAAACUCUGGAAGUGUUGAGUCUCAAACAGUGUUUGUAAGGGGUUUUGAUACAUCUUUAAGAGAAGAUGAGAUAAGGACCAGUCUGGGAGAGCAUUUCAGUUCUUGUGGACUAAUUUCGAGGAUAUCAAUUGCAAGAGAUUAUGACACUGGUUCUACUAAGGGGUAUGCUUGGGUAGACUUCAUGGACAUUGAUGGCUUAAACAAAGCACUAGAACUUGAUGGAACUGAGGUUGGAGGUUAUGUAUUGUCAGUGGAGAAAAGAAGACCUCGGCGUUAUAUUCAUGAUGGUAGAGGUGGUGGUGAUCAGUUAGGUGGAUGGCGUGGUGGCGAUCAAUUUGGUGGAUGGCGUGGUGGUGAUCAAUUUGGUGGGUGGCGUGGAGUUGGACAAUGGGAUCAGGGAAGAGGUUAUGGCAGGAGGUGGCAUUGAACGUCCUAUAAAUUAAGCCUCGUAGCAGGAGGCCCAGUCAUGGAUAUGAGAGAUAUCAAAUCAAUACAUGGGUGCUGGUUGGAGAACAAGGAUGAUGAGCUGAUCCGCUAUGAUAAUGCUGCAUGGAUUGAUGGAAAGUGUCAUCAAUGAUACUUAUAGUAACUAUAAUGCAUGUGGUCACCUUAGAGUUGAAGUCACUAUGACUCGCUGCAAUAGGAGUUGUACACUUUGGCGUCACGUUAUCAAGUGAUAGACAUGGCCAAAAGGCAGUGGUUGAACUUGAAUGUAUCACAAAUCAUGUAGAAUGAUAUCUGUGGGUUCCAUGAAUUAGCAGAGCUAAGAAAUGCAUGAUUGUGGGUUAUAAAAAGUUUUUAAAAGAAAGAAAAGACAUGCGUGAUUGUGCUCAGAUGAAUGAAAUAGUGAUAUUGAUUCAUUUGGUUUUGAUCAGUCUACUUGGGGAUCAAAAAAUGUAGCUUGAAUCAUAAAGACGACACAUUCCAUGCCUCAAGUUUAAUCUGGAUACUUGAAUAAGGGGGAAUAAGGAACAUGGUUUACUAAUGAUGGACUAGAUUUGUUGAAUCAUGGACAUUCCUAGCACUUCGGUAACAGAAAUAUACCGCUAGCUGUCGCCCAUUGUAAUCUAAAGAUCAUUGCUGAUGUAAUAAGAACCUUCAUAGUCCCACAAAAGAGUAGACGUAGACCAGGAAUUAAUUACGUAAUUGGGAUUAAUGGCAUGCAUAAUAUAAUUUCAUUGUCACUAUUUAGUAUUGAACUAAGUUUAAAGAAUAUCAUAUUUAGUGUUGGGCUUAAAUAUGGGUUUCAUUAUUAAUCGCGGCCAGACUAGGCUAGUAACUGAAGUUCCGUGGAAUUAUAUUUAAUAAUCUUGGCUUUAAUUAUUAGCUACAAUAACAAUGGGCCAAAAAUUAAAGCUCGAGAAAGUUAUAUUACAUUACAUUGAGUUUAAUUAAUUAGCGAAGCUAGAAAUUAUAUACACCCUGCUUGCUGUCAAAUCACUUAAGAGAGGGUGGGAGAGAAUCUUGGGCAUGCCAGCUGAGGUUUCUUCUGGCAGAGGUGAGGAGGGGAGGUCCAACCACCCCUGUAGAUGCCAUUGAGGUAAUAUGACUAUUCCCUCGCAAUGAUUCAACAAGCAAGACUCGUGUCCUGCCUCCUGUCUUCAGAUGAUUUUAUUCUGUUGGAUACGAUUCUGGGGAUCUGGAUUACUUUUGCUGAUGACGAGCGGCGCAGGAGAAUACUUUUGCUCGAGUUCUGUUGCUUCUCAUGAGAAUCAAAGGGAGCACCAUAAGCUACAGCUGGAUUUGGGAAGUUUUGUAGUUAUAUAAACCUGGCAAUGUUGUUAAAGAACUAGUAUGUUGUAGCCCCAUAAUUAUUGUGUACAGUAUCUAGUGGAUGAUAUUAUGAUGUUGAAAUUGGAAAUUGUCAAAGGCCAUUGGUGUCCUCUGUACAAAAAUACUUUCUGAUUUUGGGUUAAAUUAAUGUAUGUCUCGUGUAAUGCACAAAAUUUAGUCCUCUAUACAAAAAUACUUUCUGAUUUUGGGUUAAA